CUUACCCUUUGAACCUAAAAGGAGGCCAUUUUGUUUUUCCUUGCACAUGAUGGAAUUGAGCAGGUUAAAAAUUAAGCCGACGUCCUUUGGUAUCUCUUCAAGGAGCAUUGUCUUACAAAGCCAUGAAGCAGGAUAAGUGACUACAGUGUGUUGAAGGAGCUGUCUGUCUAGUUAAGCCGCACAGCCAAAAACUCAACGGAGGCAUUUCUAAUAUCAGCUGUUACAGGACAAGGUUGUUUGGCUUCACUCAAGCAAUCACUUGCAUCGCCAAGUUUUCUCCAGCAGACACGACUAACGCUACGAUCUUGUUACCCUUAGAUAACUUCUCCACUUAUUAAAAGCUAAAAAUGUAUUUUCUUGGAAAGGACAGGAUGGACGCACACCCAUUACUCUGAUGCAUCAGUCUUCCCUAUUCUUUAUGUGGCGUCUGCCUGAUGUGCUUUUUCCUCUAUCCUUCAAAAUAUCUUUUCUUUGCAGAAAUGACAGAUAGUAAUUUAGUGUGUCGUAGCAUAAUCAUAUCAGCGUCACUACAGUUAGCAAGUGUGUGAUGGUUAUUUCAUGGAGUUACAACUCCACAGUUUUCUGCCAUAUAUCACUUGUGUAUAGUGCAUACCUACCUACUGUGCAAUCAAUGUGUUACAUGCCUUUAAGUAACUGGGUCACGGUUAGUUGAAGAAACCGUAUUUCCUGGCUAGAUCUUGUUAAGAGCAAGGCAAAUCUUUUGAACACGUGUCAGCAUAAUCCAGUUUCUUAUCGAUAUUAUAACUGACAGCUGUGCGGCCGGAUAAAAGGCGAUAUAAUGUAUCCUCUUUUUGAUAUAUUUCCACCCAAAUACCUACACCAUCGGGAAACAUCAGCCUUUCUACUGUUAAACCUGAUUUCUGUAACCUGUGUACUCUGGAUUAUUGAGUGCAUGUGAAGACAACAUUCAUGAUUAAUUAAAUGAU